AUGAAGCUGUUACUGGUUUCCCUGCUGAUACUGGCAGUCCACAUUCAGGGAUCGACGGCCAAUCCAACUGUGACUCAGUCUCCUGCAUCAAAGUCUGCUGGUGUGGGUGAGACGGUCUCUCUGAGCUGUACAGCCAGUACAGGGGUUGAUGAUGAUCUCAGUUGGUAUCUGCAGAAAGCUGGACAGCCUCCCAAACUGCUCUUUUACAAAAUAAGUAGCCGUCAAUCUGGCACUCCGAGUCGUUUCAGCAGCAGUGGAUCUGAACCCGGAUUCACCCUGACCAUCAGUGGAGUCCAGGCUGAAGAUGCAGGAGAUUACUACUGUAUGGGAGCGUAUGUGGACCUGUGCACACAGUGA